GACGAACGCUGGCGGCGUGCCUAAUACAUGCAAGUCGAGCGAAUGGAAGGGAGCUUGCUCCCUGAAGUUAGCGGCGGACGGGUGAGUAACACGUGGGCAACCUGCCUGUAAGACUGGGAUAACUUCGGGAAAACGGAGCUAAUACCGGAUACGUUCUUUCCUCGCAUGAGGAAAGAUGGAAAGAUGGUUUCGGCUAUCACUUACAGAUGGGCCCGCGGCGCAUUAGCUAGUUGGUGGGGUAACGGCCCACCAAGGCGACGAUGCGUAGCCGACCUGCGAGGGUGAUCGGCCACACUGGGACUGAGACACGGCCCAGACUCCUACGGGAGGCAGCAGUAGGGAAUCUUCCGCAAGGGACGAAAGUCCGACGGAGCAACGCCGCGUGAGCGAAGAAGGCCUUCGGGUCGUAAAGCUCUGUUGUCAGGGAAGAACAAGUGCCAGAGUAACUGCUGGCACCUUGACGGUACCUGACCAGAAAGCCACGGCUAACUACGUGCCAGCCGCCGCCGUAACAC
rnacentral:rRNA from 1 species